rnacentral:rRNA from 1 species
GGGUUGUGAGGUUAAGCGACUAAGCGUACACGGUGGAUGCCCUGGCAGUCAGAGGCGAUGAAGGACGUGCUAAUCUGCGAUAAGCGUCGGUAAGGUGAUAUGAACCGUUAUAACCGGCGAUUUCCGAAUGGGGAAACCCAGUGUGUUUCGACACACUAUCAUUAACUGAAUCCAUAGGUUAAUGAGGCGAACCGGGGGAACUGAAACAUCUAAGUACCCCGAGGAAAAGAAAUCAACCGAGAUUCCCCCAGUAGCGGCGAGCGAACGGGGAGCAGCCCAGAGCCUGAAUCAGUGUGUGUGUUAGUGGAAGCGUCUGGAAAGGCGCGCGAUACAGGGUGACAGCCCCGUACACAAAAAUGCACAUACUGUGAGCUCGAUGAGUAGGGCGGGACACGUGGUAUCCUGUCUGAAUAUGGGGGGACCAUCCUCCAAGGCUAAAUACUCCUGACUGACCGAUAGUGAACCAGUACCGUGAGGGAAAGGCGAAAAGAACCCCGGCGAGGGGAGUGAAAAAGAACCUGAAACCGUGUACGUACAAGCAGUGGGAGCACGCUUCGGCGUGUGACUGCGUACCUUUUGUAUAAUGGGUCAGCGACUUAUAUUCUGUAGCAAGGUUAACCGAAUAGGGGAGCCGAAGGGAAACCGAGUCUUAACUGGGCGUUAAGUUGCAGGGUAUAGACCCGAAACCCGGUGAUCUAGCCAUGGGCAGGUUGAAGGUUGGGUAACACUAACUGGAGGACCGAACCGACUAAUGUUGAAAAAUUAGCGGAUGACUUGUGGCUGGGGGUGAAAGGCCAAUCAAACCGGGAGAUAGCUGGUUCUCCCCGAAAGCUAUUUAGGUAGCGCCUCGUGAAUUCAUCUCCGGGGGUAGAGCACUGUUUCGGCAAGGGGGUCAUCCCGACUUACCAACCCGAUGCAAACUGCGAAUACCGGAGAAUGUUAUCACGGGAGACACACGGCGGGUGCUAACGUCCGUCGUGAAGAGGGAAACAACCCAGACCGCCAGCUAAGGUCCCAAAGUCAUGGUUAAGUGGGAAACGAUGUGGGAAGGCCCAGACAGCCAGGAUGUUGGCUUAGAAGCAGCCAUCAUUUAAAGAAAGCGUAAUAGCUCACUGGUCGAGUCGGCCUGCGCGGAAGAUGUAACGGGGCUAAACCAUGCACCGAAGCUGCGGCAGCGACACUAUGUGUUGUUGGGUAGGGGAGCG